rnacentral:lncRNA from 1 species
GUUUUUGGCUUAUAUCUCAAAAACGAAAGCAUUUAGAGCAAAUCUGACAGGGGUAAAAAUGUUCAUUAGGUCAAGAUCUAUCAGCCCUGAAAUUUUCAGAUGAAUCAAACAAACCAUUGUUGGGUUGCUGCCACUUAAUUGGUAAUUUUAAGGAAAUUUUGCAGUUUUUGGUCAUUAUCUUGAAUAUUAUUAUAGAUAAAGAUAAACUGUAAACAGCAAAAAUGAUCAGCAAAGUAAGAUCUACAAAUAAGUUAAUUUGACCAAAAUUGUCAAUUGACCCCUUAAGGAGUUAUUGCCC